GGGGUGAGGCAGACACGUGCACCGACUCGUGAAAUGGAAGGGAAGGAAGGUUGGGAUGUUGAAAGGAACCCAAAUGGCCCCCUCCUUCCCAGCCCCACCCAUCGGAGAGCUUAAAUCCCAGCCUGGCUCAGCUAUGGGCAUUCACACCUCGCUCCCAACAGCACCAUGAAGUCAGUGGGCAUCUUCCUCCUCGUGGGGGUCCUCACCCUCUGGAUGGUGCUGCCGUCUUGGUCUGGCACAAUCUUACCCGUGCAAAAAAUCCCCAGAGUGAAACCUGGCACCUGCCCUGCCAGAUUACAUAAGGUGCAUUCGGGCAGAGCCUAAUAAGUGUGCCAGGGAUUCUGAGUGCAGAGGAAAACAGAAGUGCUGUCAUUUCUUUUGUGCCAUGCGCUGCGUGGACCCAGAAAAAGUGAAACUUGGGACGUGCCCACCAGAUAACAUAAGGUGUGCUUGGGCAAAACCUAAUGAAUGUGCCAUGGAUUCUGACUGCAAAGGAAAAAUGAAAUGCUGUCAUUCCCAUUGUGCCAUGCGCUGUGUGUACCCAGAACAAGCAUAACUCUCUGCUUCAUGGAUAGGCUGAGGGCAUCCCGAAGACAGCGCUGACCCAGAUCCCUGUGUCCUGGACUCUCCAGAUCCCUGCACACCUUAUACUGGGGCCCGAAUGGAGCCUCUGGCCUGAUUACAAAUAAACUUGUUUCUGCCUCAGC